rnacentral:rRNA from 1 species
AAAGUUUGAUCCUGGCUCAGGACGAACGCUGGCGGCGUGCUUAACACAUGCAAGUCGAACGGUGAAGUCCCUUCGGGGACGGAUCAGUGGCGAACGGGUGAGUAACACGUGGGCAAUCUGCCCCUCACUGUGGGAUAACUCCGGGAAACCGGGGCUAAUACCGCAUAUGAAACCUGGCGGCAUCGCCGGGUUUGGAAAGUUUUUCGGUGAGGGAUGAGCCCGCGGCCUAUCAGCUUGUUGGUGAGGUAAUGGCUCACCAAGGCGACGACGGGUAGCCGGCCUGAGAGGGCGACCGGCCACACUGGGACUGAGACACGGCCCAGACUCCUACGGGAGGCAGCAGUGGGGAAUAUUGGGCAAUGGGCGAAAGCCUGACCCAGCGACGCCGCGUGCGGGAUGAAGGCCUUCGGGUUGUAAACCGCUUUCAGCA